AACGAACGCUGGCGGCAGGCCUAACACAUGCAAGUCGAGCGAGACCUUCGGGUCUAGCGGCGGACGGGUGAGUAACGCGUGGGAACGUGCCCUUUGGUACGGAAUAGCCCCGGGAAACUGGGAGUAAUACCGUAUAAGCUCUUCGGAGGAAGAUUAUCGCCAAAGGAUCGGCCCGCGUUGGAUUAGGUAGUUGGUGGGGUAAUGGCCUACCAAGCCGACGAUCCAUAGCUGGUUUGAGAGGAUGAUCAGCCACACUGGGACUGAGACACGGCCCAGACUCCUACGGGAGGCAGCAGUGGGGAAUCUUAGACAAUGGGCGCAAGCCUGAUCUAGCCAUGCCGCGUGAGCGAUGAAGGCCUUAGGGUUGUAAAGCUCUUUCAGUGGGGAAGAUAAUGACUGUACCCACA
rnacentral:rRNA from 1 species